rnacentral:ncRNA from 1 species
CUAAAGGCAUGGUCCUGACCUUAUUAUCAGCUAUCACUCAACUUACACAUGCAAGUAUCCGCACCCCAGUGAGUAUGCCCUCAAUCCCCCCCCCUUCUUCCGGGGGAGAGGAGCAGGCAUCAGGCACAAUAAUUAGCCCAAAACGCCUAGCCAAGCCACACCCCCAAGGGAAUUCAGCAGUGAUAAAAAUUUGGCCAUAAGUGAAAACUUGACCUAGUUAGAACUAUUGAGGGCCGGUAAAACUCGUGCCAGCCACCGCGGUUAGACGAGAGGCCCUAGUUGAUAAUACAACGGCGUAAAGAGUGGUUAAGAUUAAUAACAAUAAAGCCGAAUGACCCUUCGGCCGUCAUACGCAUCUAGACGUCAGAAGCCCAUAAACGAAAGUAGCUUUAAUAAUAUAUAUAUCUGACCCCACGAAAGCUAAGGAACAAACUGGGAUUAGAUACCCCACUAUGCUUAGCCAUAAAUUUAAACAUCAACCUAAAACACAUAUGUUCGCCCGGGUACUACAAGCACCAGCUUAAAACCCAAAAGACCUGAUGGUGUUUCAGAUCCGCCCAGAGGAGCCUGUUCUAGAACCGAUAUUCCACGUUUAACCUCACCACUUUUAGUCAUCCAGCCUAUAUACCGCCGUCGUAAGCUUACCCUGUGAGGGAGUAGAAGUAAGCAAGAUGAAUAUAAUUCAAAACGUCAGGUCGAGGUGUAGCAUAUGAAGUGGGAAGAAAUGGGCUACAUUUUUUAUUAUAAAAUAAUACGAACACACACCAUGAAACGGUGCUUAAAGGAGGAUUUAGUAGUAAAAAGAAAAUAGAACGUCCUUUUGAACCCGGCUCUGAAACGCGUACACACCGCCCGUCACUCUCCCCACAACUGCAUUAAAAUAGUUAAUAAAGUAACACAAACAAGGGGAGGCAAGUCGUAACAUGGUAAGCGUACCGGAAGGUGCGCUUGGAUUUAUA